rnacentral:lncRNA from 1 species
CGGGGGUGGGGGGGGAUGUGUGGGAUUAGUAUGUCUUCCUCUGAAAAAAUGCUUGCAUAAUGACUACAGAAAACUUUAAUUUCAUUAACAAAUUAGAGCUAAAUCUUAUUCUGACAAAUGUUGCAGAAAAUAGUUUCUCAUUUUCCCCCAGUAUCUUAAAAUAUUAAUCUUUAAUAAACAUUUUCAGGUAAGUUUUUUUUUUCUUUCUGAAUACCACUUGGAGAUUUUCCAAGAAAAAAAAUUAAGGUCCUCUGGUUAGUUUGAUUUUAAAUGGGCAGUGGAAAAUAGAACCAACUUAAGUCGACUGUCUUAGAUAGAGGAGAAAUUUUAUGAAAGUUUUAUAUCAUUUGUACAAGGUUUUAAAAUAUGACAGACUUUUAAGAAUACAGAUAAUACAGGCCAUGGCCUGUCUUUAUUCCCACCCCCCAGGUUCAUUAAGGCAU